rnacentral:rRNA from 1 species
UACGUAGGGUGCGAGCGUUUGUCCGGAAUUAUUGGGCGUAAAGAGCUCGUAGGCGGUCUGUCGCGUCUGCUGUGAAAACCCGAGGCUCAACCUCGGGCCUGCAGUGGGUACGGGCAGACUAGAGUGCGGUAGGGGAGAAUGGAAUUCCCGGUGUAGCGGUGGAAUGCGCAGAUAUCAGGAGGAACACCGAUGGCGAAGGCAGUUCUCUGGGCCGUAACUGACGCUGAGGAGCGAAAGCGUGGGGAGCGAACAGG